AUCCUUCCAACCUAUCCAAAUUCCACCUGAAAAUCCUCGUGCUUCAACCCAAUGUGAAUUCUGGAAUCCUAAGUUUGCAAUUAUCUCAUAUGUUCUACAGCCACUGACUCUUUUUUUAGCAAACUAACGACAUCGGGCUUGUAUUCCAUACUGUACUCUCUAAAAAUGUGCGAAAACUUUGCACUUGCGCACUCUUGAC
rnacentral:lncRNA from 1 species